CCAUAUCUCUCUUUUUUCUUUCUUUUUUUCCAUCCCUCUCUCUUCUGUUCCUUCUUCUCCUUCUUCCCGCUCUCCCUCGAAGACCAGUUGUUGUCUGGCCUGGCCUUAUCCUUUUCGUGGGCUAAUAUUCAGAUCUGAACCGCAUCUCCCCUUAGAAAGAACAGAGUUUUUUAUAUGUGAAGCCCAACCGACGCCGACAUUGUUCACACAGAUCUACCACCAUCCCUUUAUCAUGAUGAAGAUGAUGAGGACAAAGAAGAAACGCUCAAGAUAUAAUUAAUUUUUACCAGUUGGAGUUUGAUUUUUAGAUGAUGAAGAUGAUGAAGAUGAUGAGGACCGACAACACUCAAGAUGCCAUAAGACUAAAUUGUAAUUAAUCAAUUAGAGAAUUGUAAUGAAUUUUUUUGGUUGAAAAUUUUAAUGGAAUUGCAAUCAAAUGAUA